UACAGAGGGUGCGAGCGUUAAUCGGAAUUACUGGGCGUAAAGCGCGCGCAGGCGGCUUUGCAAGUCGAGUGUGAAAUCCCCAGGCUUAACCUGGGAACUGCAUUCGAGACUGCAUAGCUAGAGUAUGGGAGAGGGAAGUGGAAUUUCAGGUGUAGCGGUGAAAUGCGUAGAUAUCUGAAGGAACAUCAGUGGCGAAAGCGACUUCCUGGACCAAUACUGACGCUCAUGUGCGAAAGCGUGGGGAGCAAACAGG
rnacentral:rRNA from 1 species